rnacentral:rRNA from 1 species
AUUGAACGCUGGCGGCAUGCUUUACACAUGCCAGUCGAACGGUAACAGGCCGCAAGGUGCUGACGAGUGGCGAACGGGUGAGUAAUGCAUCGGAACGUGCCCAGUCGUGGGGGAUAACUACUCGAAAGAGUAGCUAAUACCGCAUACGAUCUAUGGAUGAAAGCGGGGGACCGUAAGGCCUCGCGCGAUUGGAGCGGCCGAUGUCAGAUUAGGUAGUUGGUGGGGUAAAGGCUCACCAAGCCAACGAUCUGUAGCUGGUCUGAGAGGACGACCAGCCACACUGGGACUGAGACACGGCCCAGACUCCUACGGGAGGCAGCAGUGGGGAAUUUUGGACAAUGGGCGCAAGCCUGAUCCAGCAAUGCCGCGUGCAGGAAGAAGGCCUUCGGGUUGUAAACUGCGUUUGUACGGAACGAAACGGCUCUGGUUAAUACCCGGGGCUAAUGACGGUACCGUAAGAAUAAGCACCGGCUAACUACGUG